UACGUAGGGUGCGAGCGUUUAAUCGGAAUUACUGGGCGUAAAGCGUGCGCAGGCGGUUCGUUGUGUCCGUCGUGAAAGCCCCGGGCUUAACCUGGGAACUGCGAUGGAAACUAGCGAGCUGGAGUGUGGCAGAGGGGGGUGGAAUUCCGCGUGUAGCAGUGAAAUGCGUAGAGAUGCGGAGGAACACCGAUGGCGAAGGCAGCCCCCCUGGGCUAACACUGACGCUCAGGCACGAAAGCGUGGGGAGCAAACAGG
rnacentral:rRNA from 1 species